GGGUGCGAUCAUACUGGUACUAAUGCAUUGGAUCCCAUUAGAACUCUGAAGUUAAGUGUGCUUGGGUGACAGUAGUACUAGGAUGGGUGACCACCUCCUGGGAAGUCUUUGUGUUGCACCUU
rnacentral:rRNA from 1 species